GUGAAGAGGCGGAACGCAUUGACCGAAAUGUCGCCUGGACCUAAAACACCUACAAAAAGUAUCGAUGUUUGUGUAUUGUAUGGAGAAACGGAAACGCUCGACUCGUGUCGACUACUUGUGAAACAAUCCGGUCGAAGACGUCGUCUCUCAACUCGAACUUCAUUCCCGCGUCUCAAAUUGCUAAUCCGACUAUAAACAAUGACGGGCGCCCGGAAGAGGAAGUUUUGAUAGGAAACGGAAGCGAUUAGCCCGGAAUCCCCGAAAUAUUGGGCGUGGUCCCCAGAGCUAAAUCAUCGUCGUUAAGGCAAAUAUUUUGGUCUAGACACUCUAAUCUGGGUCACAGGGAUGCUGGAGCCGAUUCCAGCAGUCAUUGGGCAGCAGGCGGGGAGACACCCUGGACAGGCCACCAGGCCAUCACAGGGCCGACACACAUGCACACACACCCAUUCAUUCCUAGGGACAAUUUAGUAUGGCCAAUUCACCUGACUUACAUGUCAUUGGACUGUGGGAGGAAACCGGAGCCCCCGGAGAAGACCCACACAGACACGGGGAGAACAUGCAAACUCCACACAGAGGAUGACCCGGGAUGACCCACCAAGGUUGGACUACCCCGGGGCUCCAACCCCGGACCUUCUUACUGUGAGGCAACCGCACUAACCACUGCACCACCGUGCCGCCUGUCAUGCGAUUAAUGAAAUGCAUUAUUAAGUGGAUGGUCUGAUGUUUCAAACAAGUUGUCCAACACCACCUCUCCGAUCAUGUCGUGUCGUGAAAACCUG